rnacentral:piRNA from 1 species
UACCAUAUCUAGUCUAUGUGGUACUGGAG